ACGUUUAGUUGCUAGCGUGUAACGAUGAGCACUCUAGGCGGACUGCCGUUGCAAAACGGAGGAAGGUGGGGAUGACGUCAAAUCAUCAUGCCCCUUAUGUUCUGGGCUACACACGUGCUACAAUGGUCGGUACAAUGGGCUGCGAUGCCGCGAGGCGGAGCGAAUCCCAUAAACCGGCCCAGUUCGGAUCGGAGGCUGCAACUCGCCUCCGUGAAGUCGGAGUUGCUAGUAAUCGCGGAUCAGCACGCCGCGGUGAAUACGUUCCCGGGCCUU
rnacentral:rRNA from 1 species